UUGAACGCUGGCGGCAUGCCUUACACAUGCAAGUCGAACGGCAGCGCGGACUUCGGUCUGGCGGCGAGUGGCGAACGGGUGAGUAAUACAUCGGAACGUACCCUGUUGUGGGUGAUAACUAGUCGAAAGAUUAGCUAAUACCGCAUACGACCUGAGGGUGAAAGUGGGGGACCGGAAACGGCCUCAUGCAGCAGGAGCGGCCGAUGUCUGAUUAGCUAGUUGGUGGGGUAAAGGCCCACCAAGGCGACGAUCAGUAGCUGGUCUGAGAGGACGAUCAGCCACACUGGGACUGAGACACGGCCCAGACUCCUACGGGAGGCAGCAGUGGGGAAUUUUGGACAAUGGGGGCAACCCUGAUCCAGCAAUGCCGCGUGUGUGAAGAAGGCCUUCGGGUUGUAAAGCACUUUUGUCCGGAAAGAAAUCGCGCUGGUUAAUACCUGGCGUGGAUGACGGUACCGGAAGAAUAAGCACCGGCUAACUACGUG
rnacentral:rRNA from 1 species